rnacentral:rRNA from 1 species
AGCGAACGCUGGCGGCAGGCCUAACACAUGCAAGUCGAACGAAGUCUUCGGACUUAGUGGCGGACGGGUGAGUAACACGUGGGAACGUGCCCUUUGGUACGGAAUAACUCAGGGAAACUUGAGCUAAUACCGUAUGUGCCCUUCGGGGGAAAGAUUUAUCGCCAUUGGAGCGGCCCGCGUCUGAUUAGCUAGUUGGUGAGGUAAAGGCUCACCAAGGCGACGAUCAGUAGCUGGUCUGAGAGGAUGAUCAGCCACAUUGGGACUGAGACACGGCCCAAACUCCUACGGGAGGCAGCAUUGGGGAAUCUUGCGCAAUGGGCGAAAGCCUGACGCAGCCAUGCCGCGUGAAUGAUGAAGGUCUUAGGAUUGUAAAAUUCUUUCACCGGGGACGAUAAUGACGGUACCCGGAGAAGAAGCCCCGGCUAACUUCGUGCCAGCAGCCGCCGCCGUAA